UACAGAGGCCACAAGCGUUAGGCGGAAUCACUGGGCUUAAAGCGUGUGUAGGCGGGUUGGUAAGUACCUUGUGAAAUCCCACGGCUUAACCGUGGAAAUGCUUGGUAUACUGCCGAUCUUGAGUCAUUUAGGGGCAGCCGGAACAGAUGGUGGAGCGGUGAAAUGCGUAGAUAUCAUCUGGAACGCCAAUGGUGCAGACAGGGCUGCUGGGAAUGAACUGACGUGAGGCACGAAAAGCCCAGGGGGAGCGAAACGGG
rnacentral:rRNA from 1 species